rnacentral:rRNA from 1 species
GCAAGCUAGUAAGGGCUCGGGAUGGAUGCCUCGGCGGCCGGAGCCGAGGAAGGGCGUGGCAAGCUGCGAAAAGCCCCGGUGAGGCGCAAGCAGCCUAUGACCCGGGGAUGCCCGAAUGGGGAAACCCGCCGGGCCUUGUAGCCCGGCAUCCCGCCCUCGUGGCGGGAGGGGACACCGGGCGAAGCAAAACCUUUUAGUAGCCCGAGGAAAGGAAAUCAACCGAGACGCCCCGAGUAGCGGCGAGCGAAAGGGGCUCAGCCCAAACCGCGGUGGUGUCAUGGCGGCGGCCUUAGCCACCGCGGGGUUGUGGGACCUGUCCGGAGGAGUCCGCCGACUCCUCGGGGAGUUACAAAACCCCAGCCUAGCCGAAGUCCCCUGGAAUGGGGCGCCAUAGAGGGUGAAAGCCCCGUAGGCGAAAGGCUAGGGGUCUCCCUGGGGCAGGUUCCCGAGUACCGCGGCCCCCGUGAAAGGUCGCGGGAAGCUGGGGGGACCACCCUCCAAGGCUAAGUACUACCGGCCGACCGAUAGCGCAUAGUACCGUGAGGGAAAGGUGAAAAGAACCCCGGGAGGGGAGUGAAAGAGAACCUGAAAUCCCGAGUCCACAACCCAGUGGAAGGGGUGUGCCUCUGGCACGCCCCGACUGCGUGCCUUUUGCAGAAUGAGCCGGGGAGUUGUCCUCCGCGGCGAGGCUAAGCCGUAAGGCGAAGCCGUAGCGAAAGCGAGUCCGAAUAGGGCGCUAAGUCGCGGGGGGCAGACGCGAAGCCGGGCGAUCUACCCUUGCCCUGGGUGAAGGCCGGGUAACACCGGCUGGAGGCCCUAAGGGGUCGGUGCUGCAAAACCGUCCCGUGAGGUGAGGGUAGCGGUGAAAAGCCAAUCGCGCCCGGGGAUAGCUCGUUCUCCCCGAAAUGCAUCGAAGUGCAGCCUCGCACCAGCUGCAGCCGGAGGUAGAGCCACCGGUAGGGCUAGGGCCCCGAAAGGGGUACCGAACCCUGCCGAACUCCGAAUGCCGGCUGGCAGGGUGCGGGAGUGAGUCCUCGGAGGAUAAGCCCCGAGGACAAGAGGGAAACAACCCAGACCGCCGGCUAAGGCCCCCAAGUCCGGGCUAAGUGGUAAAGGAAGUCCCCCUCCGAAGACAGCCGGGAGGUUGGCUUAGAGGCAGCCAUCCUUUAAACAGUGCGUAACAGCUGACCGGUCGAGGAGGGGGGCGCCGAAAGAUUCUCGGGGCUCAAGCCCGGCGCCGAAGCCGCGGGUCACACAGCCCUCCGGGGCUGUGUGGCGGUAGGGGAGCGUUCCCAGCGCGCCGAAGCCCAAGCCGUGAGGCAGGGUGGAGCGCUGGGAAGUGAGAAUCCCGGCAUGAGUAGGAGCGAAGGCAGGUGAGAAACCUGCCCGCCGGAAGCCCAAGGUUUCGGCGGCAAUGAAAAUCAGCCGCCGGUUAGCCGGGACCCUAAGGCGAGGCCGAAAGGCGUAGCCGAUGGGAAGCGGGUCAACAUUCCCGCGCCAGUCGGGUGGAGACCGGGUCGUGACGCAGGAGGCUAGGCCGGGCCCGCAAUGGAUGCGGGUGCAAGGUAGUAGGGGGACGGGACAGGCAAAUCCGUCCCGUCAUACCCCGAGAGCCGAUGCCGUAAGCCGGCCGACGCCACACUGCCAAGAAACAACGGCACGGUCUGUGAGGCCCGACUGCCCGUACCGGAAACCGACACAGGUGGGCUGGGUUAGGAGCCUAAGGCGUCGGGGGAACUCUCCUCAAGGAACUCGGCAAGUUGGCCCCGUACCUUCGGAAGAAGGGGUGCCCGUGGGGGUGUAGGCCCUCGCGGCCGAAGCCCCCGCGGGUCGCAGUGACAGGGCGGUGCCGACUGUUUACCAAAAACACAGCACUCCGCAAACCCGUAAGGGGAUGUAUGGGGUGUGAAGCCUGGCCAGUGCCCGUAGGUGAACCCCCCGGGUGAUAAGCUCGGGGGUUAAGCCCGGGUAAACGCCGGCCGUAACUAUGACGGUCCUAAGGUAGCGAAAUUCCUUGUCGGGUAAGUUCCGACCUGCAUGAAUGGC